rnacentral:tRNA from 1 species
GGGCGAUUAGCUCAGUUGGUAGAGCAACCGCUUUACACGCGGAAGGUCGCAGGUUCGAGUCCUGCAUCGCCCA